rnacentral:rRNA from 1 species
CCGUACACAAAAGCGCAUGUGCUGUGAGCUCGAUGAGUAGGGCGGGACACGUGAUAUCCUGUCUGAAUAUGGGGGGACCAUCCUCCAAGGCUAAAUACUCCUGACUGACCGAUAGUGAACCAGUACCGUGAGGGAAAGGCGAAAAGAACCCCGGCGAGGGGAGUGAAAAAGAACCUGAAACCGUGUACGUACAAGCAGUGGGAGCACCCUUUUGGGUGUGACUGCGUACCUUUUGUAUAAUGGGUCAGCGACUUAUAUUCUGUAGCAAGGUUAACCGAAUAGGGGAGCCGGAGGGAAACCGAGUCUUAACCGGGCGUUAAGUUGCAGGGUAUAGACCCGAAACCCGGUGAUCUAGCCAUGGGCAGGUUGAAGGUUGGGUAACACUAACUGGAGGACCGAACCGACUAAUGUUGAAAAAUUAGCGGAUGACCUGUGGCUGGGGGUGAAAGGCCAAUCAAACCGGGAGAUAGCUGGUUCUCCCCGAAAGCUAUUUAGGUAGCGCCUCGUGAAUUCAUCUCCGGGGGUAGAGCACUGUUUCGGCUAGGGGGCCAUCCCGGCUUACCAACCCGAUGCAAACUGCGAAUACCGGAGAAUGUUAUCACGGGAGACACACGGCGGGUGCUAACGUCCGUCGUGAAGAGGGAAACAACCCAGACCGCCAGCUAAGGUCCCAAAGUCAUGGUUAAGUGGGAAACGAUGUGGGAAGGCCCAGACAGCCAGGAUGUUGGCUUAGAAGCAGCCAUCAUUUAAAGAAAGCGUAAUAGCUCACUGGUCGAGUCGGCCUGCGCG